AUUGAACGCUGGCGGCAGGCCUAACACAUGCAAGUCGAACGAGUGGCGGACGGGUGAGUAAUGUCUGGGAACCUGCCUGAUGGAGGGGGAUAACUACUGGAAACGGUGGCUACUACCGCAUACAAUCAGAUGUGCCCAGAUGGGAUUAGCUAGUUGGUGGGGUAAAGGCUCACCAAGGCGACGAUCCCUAGCUGGUCUGAAAGGAGGACCAGCCACACUGGAACUGAGACACGGUCCAGACUCCUACGGGAGGCAGCAGUGGGGAAUAUUGCACAAUGGGCGCAAGCCGGAUGCAGCCAUGCCGCGUGUAUGAAGAAGGCCUUCGGGUUGUAAAGUACUUUCAGCGGGGAGGCGGUACCCGCAGAAGAAGCACCGGCUAACUCCGUGCCAGCAGCCGCGGUAAUUC
rnacentral:rRNA from 1 species